rnacentral:lncRNA from 1 species
CCAGUUGGUUAUUCUGCUGAUUCUCGAGAUGCAGCUGAGUGAUCUUCUUUUCUCGCUCAAGAAGUCGGGAAAUACCGUCAGGAAUCCCUUCAACAUCAUCUUCGUCCACUUCGAAUACAGGGAAUUCAAAAUUGGGAGAUGACGUCCGAUCAUUAUGUUCAAUGGGUUUGAGAAACAACCUGCAUAAAGAUUUUGAUAUGAAAAGCUC